ensembl:lncRNA
GAGGAACUGUGGGUUGAGGUAGAAGAGAGGAACUGUGGGUUGAGGUAGAAGAGAGGAACUGUGGGUUGAGGUAAUGAAGAGAUGAACUGUGGGUUGAGGUAUAAGAGAUGGACUGUGGGUUGAGGUAUAAGAGAUGAACUGUGGGUUGAGGUAUAAGAGAGGAACUGUGGGUUGAGGUAUAAGAGAGGAACUGUGGGUUGAGGUAUAAGAGAGGAACUGUGGGUUGAGGUAUAAGAGAGGAACUGUGGGUUGAGGUAUAAGAGGGACUGUGGGUUGAGGUAUAAGAGAGGAACUGUGGGUUGAGGUAUAAGAGAGGAACUGUGGGUUGAGG